GCCAGACUCCUACGGGAGGCAGCAGUGGGGGAUAUUGCACAAUGGGGGAACCCUGAUGCAGCGACGCCGCGUGGGUGAAGAAGCGCCUCGGCGCGUAAAGCCCUGUCAGCAGGGAAGAAAAUGACGGUACCUGAAGAAGAAGCCCCGGCUAACUACGUGCCAGCAGCCGCGGUAAUACGUAGGGGGCAAGCGUUAUCCGGAUUUACUGGGUGUAAAGGGGGCGCAGACGGCGAUGCAAGCCAGGAGUGAAAGCCCGGGGCCCAACGCCGGGACUGCUCUUGGAACUGCGUGGCUGGAGUGCAGGAGGGGCAGGCGGAAUUCCUGGUGUAGCGGUGAAAUGCGUAGAGAUCGGGAGGAACACCAGUGGCGAAGGCGGCCUACUGGGCUUUAACUGACGCUGAAGCACGAAAGCGUGGGUAGCAAACAGGAUUAGAUACCCCGGUA
rnacentral:rRNA from 1 species